rnacentral:tRNA from 1 species
GCGGGUGUAGCUCAAUGGAAGAGCCUCAGGUUUCCAACCUGAUUAUGAGGGUUCGAUUCCCUUCACCCGCU